rnacentral:rRNA from 1 species
ACUGCCGGUUACCGGAGGAGUGGGAUGACGUUCAAGUCCAGUCAUGCCUUACGCCUAGGGCUACGACACGUAACUACAAUGGUGGGUACAAAGGGCAGCGAAACCGCGAGGUCGAAGCGAAUACUCAAAAAACCCAUCAUUAGUCCGGAUUGCAGUCUGCAACUCGACUGCAUGAAGUUGGAAUCGCUAGUAAUCCCGGAUCAGCAUGCCGGGGUGAAUACCGGUUCCCGGGCCUU